AAAGUUGUGUCAAAAGGAUGUAGAAAGAAACUUGAUGCUGAAGAGAGUAGACCUCGCCACCCGGAUUAUUUUAAAAAAAAAGAGGAUUUACUGACAAAUUAGUGGUAUCGUUGACAAAUUGAUAACAAGUGCAAUAAGUUGGAUAUUAAAGGGAAAUAUCAAUAAUGUGACAGUUUUUUUUUUGAAAGUGCGGUGAAUGACCCCGUUGAAUGGCAUCUUCUUCUUUUCUGAGUGAAGAAAAUGCCGUGGAGGAAAUCUCAGGAGUGAAAAAAUGGAGACGAGAGGACCAGAAUAUGAGAAGUAGCAGAACGUGACAUGGCAAGAACAAUAUGGAUUGUUCUCUGCCUGACGGGCUUGUGCACAUUGGCGGAGUGCUACCUGGCAGUAUUAUCCACGGACCUGCGACCAGGAAGCGUCGUCUUCGAGGCCGGCGUACCGCAACUAGGUGGAAAACGAAAAUACGAAGUGUCAACCGAUCGAACCGCGUGGUUCGCACGAAAAUUGCUCAAAGUACAUUCGCACACGGGACGCGUGACACUGGCAAGAAAUUUAAAUUGCGAUGGUCUACAAUAUCCACGACUAUUCACAUUCUAUGUGGAUUCCACCAGUUCUCGUCUCGGGAGACCAAUGAUAGAUUACUACAGUCUGCCGCUGAGAGUUUUAAUCACAGGAUGCGGCGGGGAGAAUCAAGAUCUCGCGGCAACUACCGGUUGGAUGGCGGAAACCUUGGCUUCCUAUGCAAUGCCAAGUGCGGAUAAAUUCACCGAGGUUUGUCUACGUGCAUCGCAGUUGAUAGCGGCGUUGAGUGAUUUUUUGCCUCACACGGCAAUGAAGGAGUGUCAGACAAAAUGGGUGGGUGUCACGGAUCCGAGAUUUUUGAUUGAGAGUGGCACUGGCGAUUUGGUAUCAGCCUCGGAGCAAUGUCUGAAGGAUCCACUUUGGAAGAUAUCCGUGUCAAUGAUAUUGAAUUGUGAAUCGCCGCAUUUAUCUGACGCUGAGCAUCGACUGAAGAUUGUGUUUCAUCAUCAGACUUUGGAUGAUUCCGACCUCGGCAGGAGGGUGCGACGGGAAUUGCGAAAUCAGUCGCCGUUUUUCGAGCAACCGCUCUAUGUCGCAACGGUCGAGGAGGAAAAGGAGCCGGGCGAAUCGGUGACCGUUGUUCGAGCCAAGGAUCCCGAGGGUGGACUCGUACGGUACUCGAUGACUUCGCUUUUGGAUGGAAGAUCGCAGUCGCUGUUCGUUUUGGAUUCAAUAACUGGAAGAGUCACGACCAGGGCGAGAUUAGAUCGUGAGAGUUUGGAGGUACAUUAUUUUCGAGUCUCGGCUGUUGAUGAUUCAUUUCCCCCUAGAACUGGAACGACAAUGUUGCAAGUUAACGUUCUUGAUGUUAAUGAUCAUGAACCGAAUUUCGAGUGGCCGGAAUAUGAGGCGUCGGUGAGGGAGAGUGUUCCGGUUGGAUCGACCGUUGUUGUUGUCAAAGCGACCGAUAAAGAUUCUGGAAGAAAUGCGGAAGUUGAAUACGCAAUUAUCUCGACAACCGGGGGUGGAAUCACCUCCUUGAUGGAAGAUUCCUCGACUUUUCGAAUUGACUCCAGAACUGGUGUUGUAUCAACAAGAUCGGCGCUUGAUCGAGAAAAGACAGAAGUAUACACCGUGAUUUUGCGAGCUUCGGAUCUUGCGACUCCACCAUCGGCGAGAAAAUCGGCAACAACCACCCUAGUUGUACGCGUCUCGGACGACAAUGACAACUACCCACAAUUCUCGGAGAGAACGUACUCAGUGACCGUACCCGAAGAUCUAGAUUACACUAACGAUCCAAUUAUCGCUCGAAUUCGCGCCACAGACGAAGACAGUGGAAAUAAUGCCGCAGUUCGUUACAAUAUUAUCGGUGGUAAUCUUCAAAAUACAUUCUCAAUAGAUUCACAAAGUGGCGACGUGAGUUUGGUGAAAAAUUUGGAUUACGAGAAUGCGAAAAAUUAUCGUAUUGUCGUUAGAGCACAGGACGGUGGUAUGCCAGCGAGAUCGAAUACAACUCAAUUAUUGAUUCACGUCAAGGAUAUUAAUGACAAUCCACCGAGAUUUUAUACAAGUUUAUUUCAAGAGGCCGUGUCUGAAGGUGAACCAGUGGGAUAUAAUAUUGUUCGAGUACAGGCUUACGAUGCCGAUGAGGGUUUAAAUGCACAAAUAAGAUAUGUGAUUGGUUCGAGAGAUUUUUCUGGAGCGUCAACUGAAAAUUUUCCAAUUGCCGUCAAUGCCGAGACAGGAUGGAUUUAUACUGUUAAACAAUUGGAUCGUGAAUUGUGCUCGAAAUAUCAGUUUUCGGUGAUUGCAAGUGAUUCCGGAGAGCCACCACAAUCGGCGAGUGCUUCAGUCAUUCUCACCGUGACUGAUGUCAACGAUAAUGAUCCCUAUUUUGAUCCGAAAAAUUACGAGGUUGUUAUUUCUGAGGAUGUACCAGCGGGCACGCCGGUCACGUCCGUUACUGCGACCGAUCCUGACGAGGAUUCACGAAUUCACUAUGAGAUCACGGUGGGAAAUACUAGAGGUCGUUUUUCAAUUACAUCGCAAAACGGUCGUGGACUGAUCACGGUCGCUCAAUUACUCGACUACAAGCAGGAGAAGAGAUUCGUGUUGACUGUGACGGCAACGGAUUCGGGUGGAAGGACUGACACUGCUCUCGUUUACGUGAACAUAUCGGAUGCAAAUAAUUUUGCACCCGUUUUUGAAAGAGCUCCGUAUUCGAUUUCUGUUUUUGAGGACGCACCAAUUGGAACUACUGUUCUGAUUGUUGGAGCAACUGAUUCGGACGUUGGUCAAAAUGCACAAAUAACAUACAGUUUGGGAAGUGACGGUGGCGAUCAGGAGCCAUCGGAGUUUGUUAUCAAUCCACAGACCGGAGCCAUCACGACAACGCGACUUCUUGAUCGGGAACAAGUUUCUGGUUAUUUAUUGACAGUCACUGCACGAGAUGGUGGAGUGCCUCCACUGUCAGACACCACUGACGUCGAGAUUUCCAUCACUGAUGUUAAUGACAAUGCGCCUGCUUUCGAUUCGCCACAAUAUCACGGUUCGGUUAUUGAAGACGUUCUUGUUGGGACGAGUGUUCUAAAGGUGACGGCAAUUGACAACGAUAUUGGAUUAAAUGGAAAGGUACGCUACAGUCUGGAGGACAACACAGAUGGUGCUUUCGUAAUUGACCCAGUGACCGGUGUGAUACGUACAGCAAAAACAUUGGAUCGUGAAUCAGUGGAGAGAUACAAUAUAAAAGCAAUAGCUGUCGAUAGAGGUUCUCCAAGUCUCUCGUCCUCCGUUCCUGUGAUAAUAAAAGUCGAGGACAUUAACGAUUCACCGCCAGCUUUCGAGAGUGAUAAAAUACUUCUCUACAUUUCUGAGAAUUCGCCAAUCGGUUCGAUUGUUGGUGAAAUUUACGCACACGAUCCCGACGAAGGUCCAAAUGCAGUCGUUCAGUAUUCAAUCAUCGGCGGGGAAGAUGCAAAUAGUUUCCAAUUACACACAAGACCAGGUGCGGAUCGUGCCGAAUUGAUGACACUCGACGAACUUGAUUACGAAUCAUCGAAGAAGAAAUACGAGCUAGUUAUACGUGCCGCAUCACCGCCAUUAAGAUCCGAUGCACUUGUUCAAGUACUCGUCACUGACGUGAACGACAAUGCGCCCGUUUUAAAAGAUUUUCAAAUAAUUUUCAACAAUUUCAAGGAUUUCUUUCCACAUACACCAAUUGGUAAAAUACCCGCCGUUGAUGCGGACGUUACCGAUAAAUUAAUCUACAGUAUUCUCGCUGGUAAUAAUGCGAAUAUGAUUUCAUUGAAUCGAACCACGGGGGAAAUAACCCUGUCGCCUCAAUUAAAUACCAAUGUGCCUCGAAUUGCAACAAUGGAAGUGUCCGUCACCGACGGGGUGAAUGAAGUAAAAGCCAUGAUGACCCUCUCCGUCAGAUUGAUCACCGAUAAAAUGCUAUUUAAUUCAAUAACAGUGAGGCUCGACGACAUGACAGUGGAGGCAUUUUUAAGUCCACUUUUCGGUUAUUUUCUCGACGGUCUAGCAGCGAUUAUACCAUGUCCAAUUGAGAAUAUAUUCAUAUUCAGCGUGCAAGAGGACACGGACGUGCAUGGAAAAAUUCUAAAUGUCAGUUUCUCGGCGCGUAAAGUAGAGCCGGGCGCAGUUGAUGAAUUUUACACACCGCAAUUUUUGCAAGAACGAGUCUAUCUGAAUCGAGGUAUUCUAGCACGAUUGGCACGAGUUAUUGUCAUGCCGUUCGAUGAUAAUUUAUGCGUACGUGAACCUUGUCUAAAUUACGAAGAGUGUGUAACCGUUUUGAAAUUCGGCAACGCUUCCGGUUUUGCGAGCAGUGAUACCGUUUUGUUCAGACCAAUUUACCCGGUCACGACGUUCUCGUGUCAGUGCGCGACCGGCUUUACCGGUAGUCGUGAAUCCUAUCUCUGCGAUACGGAGGUAAAUCUCUGUUAUUCGAAUCCUUGUAGAAAUGGUGGUACGUGUCAACGGAAGGAAGGCGGGUACACAUGCUCCUGCCCUGUGGAUUACAUAGGCGAGAGUUGUGAAAUAUCUCUUACGAACGACACCUGCUUGCCUGAUGCAGGUGAACCCCCUUGCAAAGGGGGUUCGCAGUGCCAGGGGAGAACUACCGGUGGAUUUAUUUGCGAGGGUUGUCCGAUCAUCCCAAUGGAGAGUGCGACAUCAGUUUGUGAAUUGAGAGCGAGGAGUUUUAAUCCGACGACAUUUUUGACAUUUCCUUCGUUGAAGCAAAGACAUCGGUUUCAUUUGUCUUUGAGAUUUGCGACUGAGAGUGUGAAUGGGCUUUUGUUGUACAAUGGACGUUAUAAUGAGAAGCAUGAUUUUGUCGCCUUGGAGAUUGUCGAUUCGCAGAUUGAAUUUAGUUUUUCGUUGGGCGAUGAGGUGACGAGGGCGACGGCGAGCGUUCCAGGUGGUGUGUCGGACGGUGAAUGGCAUAAGGUACAAAUUUCGUACAUUAAUCGAACGGUCGUUGUUGCGUUGGAUAAUUGUGACGUUGCGUUGGCAUUGAAGUACGGUGAGAAAUUGGGAGCGAAGUGGAAUUGCGCUGGGAGGAGUGAACAAAUUUUGGAACAACGCUGCAACAUUGUCACCGAGACUUGUCAUCGGUUUCUAGAUCUAACUGGUCCUUUACAAUUGGGAGGUCUACCGGCAAUACCUUCGAGUUUCCAAGUUCGGAAUAAGGAUUACACAGGAUGUAUCAGUGAUUUUUAUAUCGAUCAUAAAUUGAUUGAUUUGAAUUCCUACGUGGCUGAUAAUGGCACAACGAGCGGUUGUCCUGAGAAGCGGGCUUUUUGUGAAUCGACGCCUUGCUAUCACGGGGGUAAGUGUCGGGAGGUCUGGUCUGGAUAUGUCUGCGAGUGCGAGGAAGGCUUCAGCGGUUCGCAGUGCAGUGACUCCGUUAUCAAACCGUGGCGUUUCCAAGGCGAUGGGCUGUUGAGUUUCAAUCCCCUUUUGCGGUUGAUACAAUUGCCUUGGAUUACUGGGUUCAGCAUUCGAACGCGGGAGCAAAACACUUUUCUGAUGAGUGUCCAAAUCGGGCAGAAUAGUUCGACGGUGUUUGAGAUCAAGGACGGUAGGGUGCUGGUGAACCUCGACGGGACCGAGAUUAUAAGAACUUGGAUCAAUAUCGCCGAUGGGGAGUGGCAUCGACUUGACGUUAUCUGGCAAAGUGGACAAGUGUCUCUGGAUAUUGAUUAUCGUAAUCGGCCCCUUAUUGCCUCAUUGCUUGCUAAAUUGCAAGGAUUGUACAUUGGGAAAAUUCUCAUAGGCGGUGUGGACGAUACUGUGUCGACGGAUUUGGCAUUCUUUAGUGGAUGUAUUCAGGAUGUGCGGAUUGGUACGAAUCAGACGAUCCUCCAGGAACCAACAAUAGAGAGAAAUGUUUACAACGGCUGUGGGAGUGAACAGGAAUGUCGUGUUGAUUGUCCCGAAACGGCGAUUUGUGUCAAAAAAUGGGAGACGAGUGUUUGCGAAUGUGGCAAAGGACACGUGGGUCAAAAUUGCGAACGUGUUUGUGACGUGAAUCCUUGCAGUGACUCUGGAACGUGUGUGGAGGAUUUUUACACCGAAAAGGGUUAUAAGUGUGAAUGUAAAUCGGAGGAAUAUUCCGGUGAGUAUUGUGAGAUGAAAGCUGAUCAGCCAUGUCCGUCGAAUUGGUGGGGUUCUCCGGUUUGCGGUCCGUGUCAUUGUGACGAGUCAAGGGGCUACGAUCCGUCUUGCAAUAAAACAACCGGCGAAUGCUACUGUAAAGAGAAUCAUUAUCAAUUACCAGGUCAAGACGAAUGUAUUCCUUGUGAUUGUUAUCUAACCGGAAGUUUCACGCCCCGUUGUGAUAGUGAAAAUGGACAGUGUCCAUGUCGACCGGGAGUCAGUGGAAGAUCGUGCACGGCUUGUCCUACAACUUUGGCCGAAGUCACUUUAGAAGGUUGUCAAGUUGUCUACACUGGUUGUCCGAGAUCCUAUUCCCAAGGACUCUGGUGGAAUCGAACUGAUUUUGGUUCAACUGCCUUGGCAUCGUGUCCGGGAAAGGCGAUUGGUAAAGCUUCUCGAUCAUGUGAUGAUGAACUUACCAGUUGGCAACCACCGGAUUUAUUCAAUUGCACCUCUGAAGCUUUUAUCAAACAACGGGAAAAAUUAUCGGACCUUGAGGCUAAAUUGAAGGUACUGAAUACCUAUGAGGCUAUACAAACCGCAAAUGAUUUGCAUCACGCCAUGAGUGUCACGAAAAAUAUGUAUGGAGCUGAUAUAUUGGUUGCUGAAUCACUACUAACAAUGUUGUUACGUUACGAGGAAAGUCUACACGGUUUGAAUUUAACUCACAGUCAAGAUAAGGAUUACGUUUUCCACUUAAUCAGCAUUGCCGGCGAAGUUUUGAAAGAAAAACAUCUUGAAAGUUGGAGCAGAAUUGAAUCCCUGACGAAAAUGGGUCCAGACACUAUUUUAGAAGCGAUGGAUAAUUAUUUGAAAACUUUGACAACUUCCCAGCAAGAUACAUUCACGAGUCCCUUCGAAGUCGUCGAUUCGAAUGUCGUUCUCGGUUUGGAUGUUAUUACAUCGGAGAGUUUGUACGGUUUCGAGGCAAUGGAGUACAAAGAAGAUCUAACGGUCUCAACACCAAGACCAUUUGAUGCUGAUAAAAAAGUUGUACUGCCGGAUACAUCCGCUUUUCUAACGUCACCAAAUCAUCUCGGUCAAUCGGUCAGCUUUCCAAAGUACAACAAUUAUAUGGCCGAUCCGAAAAAGUUCGAUCCUUACACAAAAGUUCAUGUGCCGGUGAAAUUAUUGGGAAUCAAGACUGUUGAUCAUGGUGAUCUCAAUGUGAAAAAUAGUUUGAAUGGAGGAAAGGCGAUCUUGAGUUAUGUUCAGUAUCGAGAAUUGGGAGCACUUUUGCCUCGCAGAUUCGAUGAUUCGGUGACAGUCAGAUGGGGUGUUGAAGUGGCUGUUGGUUCUCCAAUUAUCACCGUAUCAGUUUUAAUUCCUUCGGAAAGUGGAUAUAAAUCUUUGAGCGGAGUGCCCCUUCAAUCACCAGUUCAAGUUCGUUUGUGGCUCAGCGAAGAUGACGGCUCAAAAAGACGUACAAAUCCACAAUGCGUACAUUGGAGUACAGCAAGAGGCUUCGGCGAAUGGAGUCGAAUGGGUUGCACAACCGAAAUGGACGAUACAAAUAUAAAAGAGGGACGAAUGGUGAAUUGCUCAUGUGUCACUCUAUCGACAUUCGCGGUAUUGACUGAUGUUUUAGAUCUCGAAUAUGUGCCAGAACCAUCAUUACUCGAGGAUGUGACGAGUUACAGUGCUUUUAUGCUCGCACUGCCAUUAUUAUUGUCAGCAUUACUUAUUUUAGCAUUGAUACGAGGAACUGCAACGAAUUCAAAUAGUAUUCACAAGAAUUUAGUAUUUUGCGUAUUUCUCGCUGAAUUAUUAUAUUUAAUUGCAUUGAAGGCGAGGAAUCCAUUGAUUGCAAAUGAAUUCCCCUGUAAACUUAUUGCCAUUGGAUUACAUUACACAUGGCUUAGCGCAUUCGCUUGGACUUUAGUUGAUUCUAUUCAUUUGUAUCGAAUGCUGACCGAAAUGAGGGAUGUGAAUCAUGGACAAAUGAGAUUUUACUAUACAAUGGGCUAUGGAUUUCCAGCAAUUAUCGUUGGACUGAGCAUUGGAGUGCGGGCCGAUCAAUAUGGAAACUUUUACUUUUGCUGGCUCUCGGUUUAUGAAACAGUGAUUUGGGCGAUGAUUGGUCCAAUUUGUAUAGCGAUUUUCCUAAAUUUCUGUAUACUGAUAAUGUCCGUUCGCGCGGCGUUUACGCUGAAGGAACAUAUUUUGGGAUUUGGCAAUCUAAGAACUCUGUUGUGGUUGUCGGUCGCCUCACUGCCAUUGCUAGGUGCCACUUGGACCCUGGCUGUUCUCAGUGCCUCGGAAAACUCGCCUACAUUGUCCUAUGUACUCAGCAUUGCCAUUGUCAUUCACGCUGCCUUUAGUCUAAUUGGCUAUUGUUUUAUCAAUGGCCGUGUUAGAAGAAAUUUGUAUCUAAGUAUCCUGAGAUGUUUAGGAAAGAAAACUCCUCUUCUUGAGGGGAGUAUGGGAAAUGCAAGUAGCAAUCAGAAUGUAAAUAGUCAUUCGCGAUCUGCAUUGGCGUAUUCGUCAGCGUACAGCGGAACGGAGUCCGUGUGCAGAAGAGUUCACGUUGGAGUUUCAACGAGCAGUACAACAUCGAGAAGUACAAAUAAAACUGGUUCGAGUCCUUAUCGAAGUGACGCACAUCUUCGUCAUACAUCGACAUCCACCAGUAAUUACAAUAGUGAUCGUGAUCCUUAUGCGUCGUCCAGGGGUGGUCAGCAUUCAAAUUUACACUCUAGACAAGAAGGUGGCGAUCAACGCAGAGACUCGGAAUCCGAUUCCGAUGGUUCACAAGCUGAUGCAGGCGGCAGAAGUCUAGAUUUAGCGAGUUCACACAGUUCGGACGAUGAGGAUGUCACUUCAAAAUCGCACAAAAAUAUGGGCGUCUCAACGCAACAACCCGUAACGCACAGCUAUCUUCCGAAUAUUCACAACACUGCCACUGAUCAUUUGAACAUUAUCUGUUCAAAUACAGAACUUUUCCCUAAUAUCAAGCCAAUUUAUGCCCCGAGGUGGAGUUCGCAACUACCCGAAGCAUAUUUGCCAUCAAACGUUGAUAUCCGCGGAAGUCAAUGGUCUGGUGGUACAAUAUCGGACAACGAAAUAGCCUCUAAUAAAACGUCAAGUCCAAAUCCGUUGCCUUAUCCUGAUAUGAAUUCGCCUAUGAAGAAUCAUCAGAUGGACGAGAAUUGUUCCGAGGUUGAGGAGAAAUUACAUCAUCUCGGUGAAAAAUAUCUCUUUCCUUAUACUGCCGAAGAAGAUCAUACCGUGUCGCCAACGCCAUAUUUAUUAUCCAUGUCAUCGCGAAUAUUAAAUUCAAGUAUGAGUCAUCAUUCACAAAAUUCAAAUCAUGAGAAUGUGAGCGGUUCCGAGAGGUAUGGUAGUUUAAAGAGGGGACAAAGUUUACAUGGUUCACAGCACGAUAAUUUGAAUGGUACCGAUAGAUAUGGAAGUUUAAAGAGAGGAAAAAUUACGCCAACAGUAUUGGAGGGUACACCGGAAUAUAUUUUGCCAAUGAGCGAUAGAAUAUUGGCCAGUUCUCUCACUCACGAUUUGCAAUAUAGCAAUGAAUUGGCCGCUCUCAGAGAACAUCAGCAACCAGAGUAUGAACAAACUAUCGCCGAGGCAGAAUGGUGUUGGAACGUUCUUAACUAAUUGUAGUGUCUUUUCUAUAUUCUGCUUUCCUCAACAAAUGAUGACGCUUCAGUGAAGAGGAAGGAUAUUAAUGCUGAAACGUCCGUUUGACAAUCUUCACCUACAAAAAACAAAAAAAAAAGUCGUACAAAGAAAUAUUUUAGAGUAUCCAUUUUACAAGAAGCGAAUUAAAGUUUUUAGUAACUAAAUAUAAAUAUAUAUUUUAGGCAGUGGCCAUUGUGCUUAAAACGCGUAGCCAUAUUGAUUAGCAAAAAAAAAUUAUAUGUGUGAGUGCCUAUUUGUAUUAUCUUCGCAAAAUGCUUAAUAAUAUUUACUUCGAUAUUAAUUAAUAUUUAGCGAAACAUGAAUUUUUUUUAAAGCUCAUUUAGAAAUAACCGGAUUCGUUGGCAAUUGUCUGCACACUGUAGGUAAAAAAAAGUAUGUAUGAUGUGUGUAAGUAAAUUGAUAAGACUGAAUGAUUCUUUUUCUCUUAUAUAUAAAAAAAGAAAACAAACAAUUCAGUUUCGAUCAACUAUAUUUAUAAGUAUUAAUUAUUUGCAAUGAAAUUCUCGACUGAAAGACAAUUGUUUAAAAAACGAAUUCCGGUGCGUAAAACUCAUUGAUCUCUAGCUCAUUUCGUCCUGUGUACUUAAAUAUUGUAAAACUUUGUACCUUACUUUUAUAAUUUAGUACUGUGCAAUGUCUACAUUCCCAGUGAUCUUCUUUUUAAUUAUUUAGAUUUUUAUAUUUUUCCACUUCUUUUUACAUGCCAAGCAAAUUCGUAAAAGAAAGGGAGAAAAAAAGAACGAAACUUAUAAUAAGUGUCAUGUAAUACUCAAAAAAAAAUCUUUUUGUAUAUAUUUAUAUACGAAGAAAUUCGAAAAAAUACAAAUAAUUUAUAUACCUUGAAAA